rnacentral:rRNA from 1 species
GUCCACGCCGUAAACGAUGGAUGCUAGCCGUCGGCAAGCUUGCUUGUCGGUGGCGCAGCUAACGCAUUAAGCAUCCCGCCUGGGGAGUACGGCCGCAAGGUUAAAACUCAAAGGAAUUGACGGGGGCCCGCACAAGCGGUGGAGCAUGUGGUUUAAUUCGACGCAACGCGAAGAACCUUACCAGCUCUUGACAUUUCCGGACCGUUUCCAGAGAUGGAUUCAUCCUAGCAAUAGGUCGGAGGACAGGUGCUGCAUGGCUGUCGU